rnacentral:lncRNA from 1 species
CUUUUCAUAGACACUUACCGAAGGGCCACCAUGUGAUCAUCCUUCCCAGGCUGAGGGACACCAGAACUGGUUAACAUCUACAGGCCUGGCUCACCCAACCAAACAUACGGGAGGUGGGUGGAUGGAUAAACAAUGCCACUGUGACCGCUUACAAUGAGCGCCAGUUCGUUUAGAAGGCUGAUGUCAGGAAUUGGCUCAAGUCAUUCAUUCCCUCCUGGUGAUGCCGGGCAAAUGCAGAACCAGGGCAAAUGCAGAACCAGAGCAAAUGGAGCCAGCCUUUCUCGAAGGAUUUCUCAGUCUGUCAGACUGGGCUACAGAAAUGUGUGACGUGCCGGGAAGUGUCAGGGAAAGUGUGGCUCAGGAGUGACCUGGGUUGUAAUCUUAGCUCUACCAGUUCUUAACAACAUGUCCUUGGCAGGUUGCUUAAGCCUUGGCCUUUUGUUCAUCUGAUACAUGGAGAUGAUCAUAGAACAACCCAGAGAGUUGCUGGGAGGAGCAUACAGAUGAUGUGCUGUGCAAUGACUAGGUCCAGGCAGAUGCAACAUAAACAGUAGCUCUUGCUAUUACUGGACAGCUGGGUGACUUCCCUGUCUACAGAAGGCGUAUUUACAAUGGCCACUGUCUGCAAGCUGUUCUUCUUCACCCCGGUCAGCCCUGGGUCCUCUCACAAGCCCUUGCUAUUCCUCGAGCCCUUCUCUUAUCACAGUGUCUCUCCAGUCAGGCAGGUGUCAAAUAAUUCAUUGGGCUACAAUUUGAUUUAGUGACAUUCUUU